UAUCUUACCCACCUAUUUCUGAAACAUUUUGGAAAAGCUGAUCUUUUUACCUUCAUUGUUUAGAUGAGGAAAUUGAGAUCUGAGAAAUAAGGGACUUGUUCAGAAAUCAUAUAGCACAUAAAUGGCCAAGUCAGGAUUCAUCGCUAAGUCUCUGCUCCUAAUCCUCCUUGCUGUCACCUCUCAGAGGACUGCUUCUGUGAAGAGGACCUGGGGACCUUUACAUUUGUAAGACUUCUCUCUGGUGAGCAGAAACCCCACAGGAAGGCCCAUUCUCCUAAAUCUUCCUCUCAAAGGGGAAUGAGGAAAGGGUAUUCUAAUUACUUUCACUGAGACCUGUUUCAUCCACAGCCAGCCAGCAGUGAGUUUCAGACUAAAACACCAUAUUUAGUCUCUGGGCAGUCUCACACAUUGUUUCUUCUGGUUGGAGAAGCCCCUGUGGCUAAAGCAGGCUCAGGCACCAAUUUAACUCAUCUACAAAUAUGUAAUAACAGCAAUAGUGACAGCUGCCACUUCUCUAUGGUUGCCACGGACCAGGCACAGUGCCACCACUUUUCAAGUAUUAUCUUGGUUCAUUCUCAAAGCAGACUUAUGAAGAGGCUAUUAUUAUUCACAGAUAAAGUGAGGCAGAAGUUGCACUAUGAAGAUGGCCAGACUAAUGCGACAUAGGUGUGGAAAGAAGAUGGACGUAGACCAAGGAAGAGGUACUUGCAGAUGUGGGAUGGGGCUGGGGCAGACACGCUGCAAGGGCUGACAGUGACUCAAGAGAAAGAGUAAAGAAAGAUUUGCACCAUC